rnacentral:rRNA from 1 species
UGGGGAAUAUUGGACAAUGGGCGAAAGCCUGAUCCAGCAAUGCCGCGUGAGUGAUGAAGGCCUUAGGGUUGUAAAGCUCUUUUACCCGGGAUGAUAAUGACAGUACCGGGAGAAUAAGCUCCGGCUAACUCCGUGCCAGCAGCCGCGGUAAUACGGAGGGAGCUAGCGUUGUUCGGAAUUACUGGGCGUAAAGCGCACGUAGGCGGCUUUGUAAGUUAGAGGUGAAAAGCCUGGAGCUCAACUCCAGAAUUGCCUUUAAGACUGCAUCGCUCGAAUCCAGGAGAGGUGAGUGGAAUACCGAGUGUAGAGGUGAAAUUCGUAGAUAUUCGGAAGAACACCAGUGGCGAAGGCGGCUCACUGGACUGGUAUUGACGCUGAGGUGCGAAAGCGUGGGGAGCAAAACAGGAUUAGAUACCCUGGUAGUCCACGCCGUAAACGAUGAUAACUAGCUGUCCGGGGACUUGGUCCUUGGGUGGCGCAGCUAACGCAUUAAGUUAUCCGCCUGGGGAGUACGGCCGCAAGGUUAAAAACUC